GGGGAUGAUGGCGAUCUCCUCGCACACGCGCUUGUUGGUGUGGAAGUCGUUGCCCAGGCGCGUGUAGUACUUCUCGAUGAUGACCCGGGCCGCCUUCUUCACGGUUUUGGUGCGGACGCGGCCCUGCGAGUGGGAGAGCACAGCGUCUGAGCUCCAGUCA